rnacentral:tRNA from 2 species
GCCCAGGUGGCGGAAUAGGUAGACGCAAGGGACUUAAAAUCCCUCGGUGGUAACACUGUGCUGGUUCAAGUCCAGUUCUGGGUACCA